UGCAUCUGAGCUCUCAAGGGCUCUGGUAGUGUUAGUUAUCAGUUCCUGUACCAGUGUUGCUUCUGUGGUCACUCUUCUCACAGCAAGCACACUUGCAGCUGCGACCUUGAACCCUUGCUCUCAACCAUGAAGACCAGUAGAACAAAAAAGAUUAUCGCAAAAAUGUUCUUCAGGGAACAGGGUGACACAUCCUUAUGAGGAUCUUGGGCCUCUCUGAGACCAUCAGCUAGUCCAGGAAGUGCCAGUCAUCGUCCACGUGCCAUCUGUGUUGUCAUCUGUCUGCACCCCCACCUCCACCCCCACAACUCAGGAAGCAUUAUAAACUCAGAGCAAGACUGUAUGAUCCAAAAGCAAGUGAUCACUGCAAAGAAAACUGUCCCAGUCUAAAGAGAUGCUGUAUGAGCAAACAGCUGCAAUACACUUUCCUGCUUAGCUUUAUGGAUAUUUAUAUAUAUUAUGCUGCUUAUUCUGAUAAGAAAGUUGUAUGCUGCCAAACAGAAGAAAAUGGUUUCAUAUCUAAAAGUCUGAGUUGGUAUUUUUUUGACUUUCUGGAGCCUUAGGGAUGUCCUGUUAAUUCCUGAGUACUGCCUUGCACAAACUGCAAGGCAGCUUCCCCCAUUUUCUUGUUUAAAAAGAAACUCCACUCAGCCUGCCUUUUCUUCUUUGUGGUUCCUCACAUUUCUUUCUACCAGCCCUUGCAGAGGUGAAUUCCCUUGCAGUGAGAAUGAAGAAUUUCAA